rnacentral:rRNA from 1 species
CGACCGGCGCACGGGUGAGUAACGCGUAUCCAACCUUCCCAUUACUGUGGGAUAACCUGCCGAAAGGCAGACUAAUACCGCAUAGUCUUCGAUGACGGCAUCANAUUUGAAGUAAAGAUUUAUCGGUAAUGGAUGGGGAUGCGUCUGAUUAGCUUGUUGGCGGGGUAACGGCCCACCAAGGCGACGAUCAGUAGGGGUUCUGAGAGGAAGGUCCCCCACAUUGGAACUGAGACACGGUCCAAACUCCUACGGGAGGCAGCAGCA